rnacentral:rRNA from 1 species
GACGAACGCUGGCGGCGUGCUUAACACAUGCAAGUCGAACGGAAAGGCCCUGCUUUUGUGGGGUGCUCGAGUGGCGAACGGGUGAGUAACACGUGAGUAACCUGCCCUUGACUUUGGGAUAACUUCAGGAAACUGGGGCUAAUACCGGAUAGGAGCUCCUGCUGCAUGGUGGGGGUUGGAAAGUUUCGGCGGUUGGGGAUGGACUCGCGGCUUAUCAGCUUGUUGGUGGGGUAGUGGCUUACCAAGGCUUUGACGGGUAGCCGGCCUGAGAGGGUGAACGGCGACAAGGGGCCUGAGAGACGGACCAGACUCCUACGGGAGGCAGCAGUGGGGAAUAUUGCACAAUGGGCGGAAGCGUGAUGCAGCAACGCCGCGUGCGGGAUGACGGCCUUCGGGUUGUAAACCGCUUUCGCCUGUGACGAAGCGUGAGUGACGGUAAUGGGUAAAGAAGCACCGGCUAACUACGUG